UACAGAGGGUGCAAGCGUUGUUCGGAAUUAUUGGGCGUAAAGGGCGCGUAGGCGGUGCUGUAAGUCUGUAGUGAAAUCUCUGGGCUCAACUCAGAGUCUGCUAUAGAAACUGCAGUGCUGGAGUGUGGGAGAGGUGACUGGAAUUCCUGGUGUAGCAGUGAAAUGCGUAGAUAUCAGGAGGAACACCUGCGGUGUAGACAGCUUUCUGGACCAUUACUGACGCUGGGACACGAAAGCGUGGGUAGCAAACAGG
rnacentral:rRNA from 1 species